UACGAAGGGGGCUAGCGUUGCUCGGAAUCACUGGGCGUAAAGGGCGCGUAGGUGGCGACCCAAGUCGAUGGUGAAAGCUCGCCGCUCAACGGCGAGUCGGCCACCGAUACUGGGUUGCUGGAGCACUGUAGAGGCUCAUGGAAUUCCCGGUGUAGCGGUGAAAUGCGCAGAUAUCGGGAAGAACACCUAUGGCGAAGGCAGCUCUCUGGGACGGUACUGACGCUGAGACGCGAAAAGCGUGGGGGAGCAAACAGG
rnacentral:rRNA from 1 species